rnacentral:rRNA from 1 species
CUACGGGUGGCACCAGCAAGGGAUAUUGUGCAAUGGGCGAAAGCCUGACACAGCGACGCCGCGUGGGGGAUGAAGGCCUUCGGGUCGUAAACCCCUUUUCUCGGGGAAGAAUAAUGACGGUACCUGAGGAAUAAGUCUCGGCUAACUACGUGCCAGCAGCCGCGGUAAUACGUAGGAGGCAAGCGUUAUCCGGAUUUAUUGGGCGUAAAGAGGGCGUAGGCGGUUUUUCAAGUUGGAUGUGAAAUCUCUCAGCUCAACUGGGAGGGGUCAUCCAAAACUGUUGGACUAGAGGGCAGCAGAGGGAGGUGGAAUUCCCGGUGUAGUGGUGAUAUACGUAGAUAUCGGGAGGAACACCAGUGGCGAAGGCGGCCUCCUAGGCUGUUGCUGACGCUGAGGUCCAAAAGCGUGGGGAGCAAACAGGAUUAGAUACCCUUGUAGUC